rnacentral:tRNA from 1 species
GCAUUGGUGGUUCAGUGGCAGAAUUCUUGUCUCCCAUGUAGUAAACCUGGGUUUGAUUCCUGGCCAAUACA